GACGGAGGAUGCAAGUGUUAUCCGGAAUCACUGGGCGUAAAGGGCGUGUAGGCGGGAAGGAAAGUCAGAUGUGAAAUCCCUGGGCUCAACCCAGGAACUGCAUUUGAAACUCCCUUUCUUGAGUGUCGGAGAGGAAAGUGGAAUUCCUGGUGUAGAGGUGAAAUUCGUAGAUAUCAGGAGGAACACCGGUGGCGAAGGCGGCUUUCUGGACGACAACUGACGCUGAGACGCGAAAGCGUGGGGAGCAAACAGG
rnacentral:rRNA from 1 species